rnacentral:rRNA from 1 species
CCUACGGGAGGCAGCAGUCGAGAAUCAUUCACAAUGGGGGAAACCCUGAUGGUGCGACGCCGCGUGGGGGAAUGAAGGUCUUCGGAUUGUAAACCCCUGUUAUGUGGGAGCAAAUUAAAAAGAUAGUACCACAAGAGGAAGAGACGGCUAACCCUGUGCCAGCAGCCGCGGUAAUACAGAGGUCUCAAGCGUUGUUCGGAAUCACUGGGCGUAAAGCGUGCGUAGGCUGUUUCGUAAGUCGUGUGUGAAAGGCGCGGGCUCAACCCGCGGACGGCACAUGAUACUGCGAGACUAGAGUAGUGGAGGGGGAACCGGAAGUCUCGGUGUAGCAGUGAAAUGCGUAGAUAUCGAGAGGAACACUCGUGGCGAAGGCGGGUUCCUGGACAUUAACUGACGCUGAGGCACGAAGGCCAGGGGAGCGAAGGGAUUAGAUACCCGGGUAGUC